CGUGUAGGUGGUUUGGUAAGUAGGGCGUGAAAGCUCCUGGCUCAACUGGGAGAGGUCGUUCUAAACUGCCGAACUAGAGGAUGGUAGAGGGAAGUGGAAUUCCGGGUGUAGCGGUGGAAUGCGCAGAUAUCCGGAGGAACACCAGUGGCGAAAGCGGCUUCCUGGACCACUCCUGACACUCAGACGCGAAAGCUAGGGUAGCAAACGG
rnacentral:rRNA from 1 species